rnacentral:RNase_P_RNA from 1 species
UCAGAUGGCCGGAUGGCCGCUCCCCUGCCGCAAGCCGGCCGGGGGGAGGAAAGUCCGGGCUCCACGGAAACACGGUGCCGGGUAACGCCCGGCGGGGGCGACCCCAGGGAAAGUGCCACAGAGAACAGACCGCCGGCCGGCCCAACGGGCCAUUGGCCGGUAAGGGUGAAAAGGUGCGGUAAGAGCGCACCGCGCCGCUGGCAACAGGGGCGGCAUGGUAAACCCCACCGGGAGCAAGGCCAAAUAGGGACAACAGGCCGCAUUGCGGCAGGCGGGUUUCCGCGCCGGUUGUCCGGGUCGGCUGCAUGAGGCAUACGGUAACGUAUGUCCCAGAUGAAUGGUCAUCAUCCGCAUCGCGCGGAUACAGAACCCGGCUUACAGGCCGUCUGACAAU